UCCUUCCUAUUUUUGUGGAUCGUCUUCCCGUGGUAUCCAUUACCGAUUCGGUCAGGCAGCGGCUGGUCAAAGCGGUGCCCCAAUCUCUCUUCCUCCCUAUUGCCGCCUCCCACAUUAUUCCUUAGGCCCGGCCUCCUCUUUCCUCUCUCUUGCUGCCGUGCCAUCUACCGCCGCGGCUGGCGGCGUGAAGGACGGCUGACGGCGUGGAGGAGGAGUUCGGGUCAGCCCACUCCUUCCCGACUGAGAUGGCGGCGUGUGGGCGCCAGUGGGGGGACUUGAACUGCAGCAUUCGAGGCUAGACGGAGACGAUGCCGACCCGUUGAGGGACGUCAUGUCUACCAGGAUGUUGUUGUGCGGGCCUUCUCCGCCUCACGCGGAUUGUUGUUUGGAGGCUAGACAGGGGCGCUACGGACCUGUCCGUUGAGGGAUGCCGUGUCUAGCAGCAUAUUGUUGUGCCUCCUCUCCUUCGCCUGGCUCAUGUGGGACUUCUCCCCAUUCCCUCUUACUAAUUCUCUUUUUUCGAUCUGCUCAUCAGCCUAGGUUAUUCUUUCUCCUCCAUGUUUUUGAUUCUUUCACUGUUUGUAUCUUUUUGCUCGCCCAGGUGCUUGCGUAGGUUGUUGUGUUCUUAGUGUCCAGUCUAAGGGAUCAAUUCAUAUUUAAUUUCCGCAUUCUUCGAACUAUGAUUUCUACCACUGUUCAUAUCAACCAAUACUGAAAAUAGUACCUUGCAGGGACACCAACAGGACAGCUAUGCAACCAUACUUGGUAAAAGAGAUUUGCCGCCUAGAGUGUUUCAACGGAAAAUCAUAACGUGUGUCCCCCGGAUCUAGGAGUACAUGCCUAUAGGGAUCAAUCUACCUGGCAAAAAGUGUUAGAGUCGGACUUCAUUAUUAGUACCGAGAGGGCAACACAAUGGAAGGCUGUGUACCACCCAAUCGAGUAUACAAGUUCAGAGAACAACUAAAGGAAGGUUCUAUCUACAGGUUUGAGUUUUUUAUUGUUGCUACAGCAUGGAACAAAUACAAGACAGCCAAUCAUCCGUACAGGAUCAAAAUUACUCAACGCACAAAGGUCAUCGAAGCAAUUCCGGAUUCUAAAAUGUUUCCUUUGUUUCCGUAUAAUGCGAAUCAUUUGCUGUUCUGUAGUCACCCUAAUCCUUUGCUAUUCUGUAGUCACGCGCAGGGGACAACACCUUUCUAUCAGACGUUGAUGUACCGGUGACCAUGGACCAUUCUUAAUGAAUAUCACUCGGUCGAAUACGAAUCAAGAGCCAAGGAGGCAUAUCGUCUUAAAAGAUGCUAGUCACUUGAAUCGUUUGCUAUUCUGUAGUCAUGCGCAGGGGACAACACCUUUCUAUCAGAUGUUGCUGUACUGGUGACCAUGGACCAUUGUUAAUGAAUAUCACUCGGUCGAGUACGAAUCAAGAGCCAAGGAGGCAUAUUCUCUUAAAAUAUGCUAGGUGGUGGAAAUGUGUUGUUGGUGUUCUAAGUCCAUUGUUGCCCAGUGCACAGCAUGCCUCCAGUGAUCUUGCAUCGUAAUAAUUUAUAGAACAAGGUGUCACAAAGGAAGUGGACACUGAGUGGGUUCGAUCGAAGAGAAGUUUGUGCUGGGUUUCCUGAGCUGAUUGGGAUGCGUCUCCUUCAGCCGGUAAAAGGAGUAGUUUACAAGUUUAAACUAAAAAGGAAACUUGCUAUUGGGCUUCCUUCAAUAUCAGUGUUUCGGACCAGAUCAGAUAUGAGAUGAAUCAGAUCAAUCGGGGAAAAUAUUGGACGAUCUUAGUCUUAACAUGAUACUUUUCUACCACUUAUUGGGUACUAUAUUUAUAAGCUUCUAAGUUUUGUUCCAUUGGUUGGAAGGAAGUGGCCGUGAUGAGUCCAAUCGAGGGGCAGUUCAUGCUGGGUUCCAUGUUGUUCGUUGUCCUCCUGUUGCUGAUCUUUUUCCUUAGUUGAUUGGUAUGCAACCUACCGAUUUUAUCUCUUUCCAAGAACUCUGCUAUAUGUAGAUCAUUUGACCGCAGAAAUAGUAGGCUUUGGUUAGAUGAAGGAACUAUGCAGUCAGUACUCUUUUCUUUGUACAGUCAGUGUGCUAAAAACUACCACUGCAUGGUGUUCUACUGUAUAUAUGUGUUGUAUAUAAUUGCAGUCAAUGGAUAUAUAAGAGACUGUCUCUUUUGUUUCA